AAGACUAUACUUUCAGGGAUCAUUUCUAUAGUUUGUUACUACAGAAGUUUCUCUGAAGAUGUAGAGUUUUCAAAAAAAAAUU
ensembl:snoRNA U3 Small nucleolar RNA U3